UACGUAGGGACCAAGCGUUGUUCGGAUUUACUGGGCGUAAAGGGCGCGUAGGCGGCAUGGCAAGUCACUUGUGAAAUCUCCGGGCUUAACUCGGAACGGCCAAGUGAAACUGCCACGCUAGAGUGCAGAAGGGGCAAUCGGAAUUCUUGGUGUAGCGGUGAAAUGCGUAGAUAUCGGGAAGAACAUCGGUGGCGAAGGCGCUCUACUGGACCACAACUGACACUCAGGGACGAAAGCUAGGGGAGCGAAUGGG
rnacentral:rRNA from 1 species